rnacentral:lncRNA from 1 species
AUGGGGUCUGUGCAGCACUGGGAGCACUGGCAGGCAUUCCCAGCCGGGUGUGAGGGAGGGAUGGGGUCUGUGCAGCACUGGGAGCUCUGGCAGGCAUUCCCAGCCGGGUGUGAGGGAGGGAUGGGGUCUGUGCAGCACUGGGAGCUCUGGCAGGCAUUCCCAGCCGGGUGUGAGGGAGGGAUGGGGUCUGUGCAGCACUGGGAGCUCUGGCAGGCAUUCCCAGCCGGGUGUGAGGGAGGGAUGGGGUCUGUGCAGCACUGGGAGCUCUGGCAGGCAUUCCCAGCCGGGUGUGAGGGAGGGAUGGGGUCUGUGCAGCACUGGGAGCUCUGGCAGGCAUUCCCAGCCGGGUGUGAGGGAGGGAUGGGGUCUGUGCAGCACUGGGAGCUCUGGCAGGCAUUCCCAGCCGGGUGUGAGGGAGGGAUGGGGUCUGUGCAGCACUGGGAGCUCUGGCAGGCAUUCCCAGCCGGGUGUGAGGGAGGGAUGGGGUCUGUGCAGCACUGGGAGCUCUGGCAGGCAUUCCCAGCCGGGUGUGAGGGAGGGAUGGGGUCUGUGCAGCACUGGGAGCUCUGGCAGGCAUUCCCAGCCGGGUGUGAGGGAGGGAUGGGGUCUGUGCAGCACUGGGAGCUCUGGCAGGCAUUCCCAGCCGGGUGUGAGGGAGGGAUGGGGUCUGUGCAGCACUGGGAGCUCUGGCAGGCAUUCCCAGCCGGGUGUGAGGGAGGGAUGGGGUCUGUGCAGCACUGGGAGCUCUGGCAGGCAUUCCCAGCCGGGUGUGAGGGAGGGAUGGGGUCUGUGCAGCACUGGGAGCUCUGGCAGGCAUUCCCAGCCGGGUGUGAGGGAGGGAUGGGGUCUGUGCAGCACUGGGAGCUCUGGCAGGCAUUCCCAGCCGGGUGUGAGGGAGGGAUGGGGUCUGUGCAGCACUGGGAGCUCUGGCAGGCAUUCCCAGCCGGGUGUGAGGGAGGGAUGGGGUCUGUGCAGCACUGGGAGCUCUGGCAGGCAUUCCCAGCCGGGUGUGAGGGAGGGAUGGGGUCUGUGCAGCACUGGGAGCUCUGGCAGGCAUUCCCAGCCGGGUGUGAGGGAGGGAUGGGGUCUGUGCAGCACUGGGAGCUCUGGCAGGCAUUCCCAGCCGGGUGUGAGGGAGGGAUGGGGUCUGUGCAGCACUGGGAGCUCUGGCAGGCAUUCCCAGCCGGGUGUGAGGGAGGGAUGGGGUCUGUGCAGCACUGGGAGCUCUGGCAGGCAUUCCCAGCCGGGUGUGAGGGAGGGAUGGGGUCUGUGCAGCACUGGGAGCUCUGGCAGGCAUUCCCAGCCGGGUUUGAGGGAGGGAUGGGCUCCAGCAUCUCGCCGGGCUGA